rnacentral:rRNA from 1 species
UACGGAGGGGACUAGCGUUGUUCGGAAUUACUGGGCGUAAAGCGCACGUAGGCGGAUUUGUAAGUCAGGGGUGAAAUCCCGGGGCUCAACCCCGGAACUGCCUUUGAUACUGCAAAUCUCGAGUCCGGAAGAGGUGAGUGGAAUUCCUAGUGUAGAGGUGAAAUUCGUAGAUAUUAGGAAGAACACCAGUGGCGAAGGCGGCUCACUGGCCCGGUACUGACGCUGAUAUACGAAAGCGUGGGGAGCAAACAGG